CGCACCUGAGUCGGACGGAAAAAUACUCCGGAUACCUAUACGCCUACGUAAUCCCUGAAAAUCGCGGUUAGGACGUUCCGCAGAAUCGAUAUAUGCAAACCGGUUCUGGAUUUUUAUCAUCGCACCACCGUCUCCGGCCGCGACAUAAACCCAUCCCCCGUGGAUACGGUGACCUUUUCAACGAUGGUCGAACGAUACGGGAAUUACAGCAACGGAAGCCCUACGUGUAGGAGAAAUGAGAGAAAGUGGAAUUGGCAGCGAGGGCUGAGAAUAUAUAUUCAGAAAGGAUAGUGCGCCGGGGGUUAGUCCUCCGGAUUUUAGAUUUCAACUUUCCUCUCGUCCAGGGAUGAAGGGAUGAGCGGGUGAGCUAAGAGAUCGAUUUUGAUCGGCUUUCCGAACGCGGCAAGCCCCUCGAUGAUCUCGUUAUCCGCUUAACGCGAAACACGAGAGCCUAAGGCUUAUAGUAUUAAAAGAAGAGAGAAAAGAGGUGGAUGGGAAUAAGGCAGGUAUUGUAUAUAGGUGUACAUAGGUAGGUACGUACUCGAAAAAAUGAAAAGUAGGUAGGGGUAAGCGAGGCGAAACGUAUCCGCGGGGCGCAAUGGACGAUCUUUGGGGAGCGCCGCGCGGCCCGGAAACUGUUGAAAACAAAAAAUCAUCCGCCUUGCCUCGCGGGUCCGCAUUGCCCCAAUUCGCCCCAUAGGUAUUCCGCUAUCCUCGAAAGAAAUGCGGGAGGGUUGAAUAAAAUUCAUUCGCGCUGACGUCCGUCCGACGAGUCAUUAAAAAAGCAAUUAGAGUAUCGUUGAAUUUGAGAUUACAAGUUCUCCGGAGUCCCCGAGGACUUCAUGGCUUUUCCAUAAUGUACAUCCAUGGCGUCUAUCCAGUUUGCAUUACGAGUUAAGCUCUUUUUAUCCGAGAUAAAUUAGCCAGUGAAAUAAAUAACCUUAUCUUAUUCCACCACCUACUUCGGCUAUCACCGGGCCUAAUUGGAAUUAUCCCUCCUUUCAUCCGGCGUUACAAUUUGUCGGCAAGCCAACGGUGAUGACAUUUUAUCUGAAUCCUGCGGUCCGCCCGCGAGCACGAGGAAACGCGUUUUUCAAUUAAAUACCACUUCAGCCGAGUGAACCGGCGCGAAAACAACUCCAUUUUCCACCGCUCAAUCGAAUUCCUCGGAAAACAUUGCUCGGCUAACAUCGCGCGUUCCGAAAUCUGAAAAAUUUUUCGUGCAGAAUAAACGUCCGAUAAGAGUGCCUGGAAAAAUUCGCCCCCGAUCUCUGCAAGCUAGCCUGGGAAAAAUGACAAGUUCCGACCGUUUCACCCAGAAAUAAUCCGCAACUUUGAAAAGGCUCCGUACGACAAUCAUACGGGUGGGUUUGGCUCGAAUUUACUUUGCUGUAAUUUGUACAAUAUCAUCAACAAAUAUGUGUCCGCAGGAGACGCGCGGUCGUAGCGUAAUAUACGCGACGUUCAAUAUUGGUCCGGGGUGGCGGGGGUGUUGGGGGGGGUUUCCGUUAACGGAAGCUCAUGGACAGACAUAGCGGACUGUACAUUAGCCGCGUGCUAACAAUAAUUAUUAAAGCAAUAAUACGGUGUACGUGUAUAUCCACCAUUAUUGGAGAAACCAAAUAUUUUGACCGCGGGGGAAGAAGAAUUGAUUAUACGUUGAGUAUCGGGUUCACUCGCGGUACUGCAGAGUUCGAAUAAUCGAGAAAAUUGCUACGUAGCCCCAGUCAACGGGUACACGUAGAGGUAUAUAUACGUCAGCGGUGAAAUCAUCGUAUCCGUAUCUUCGACGAUAAUGGGUAAUACGAAACUACGUCGCGAUACAGUUUCCGAGUGCUCGCAGCAUCUCACCGGUUGAUAAAUGAAAUAUUAUAGGAGUGGCCGUUUCGGUUGGCGAGACGUUGGAAAUCCCCCCUUCGUCCGCCCUCGAUCAAAAAACUCGUCCGUUUAAUAUCUUUAAUAUCCUGAAGCUGGUCAAUUAGUUUAUGGGAAAAGUUCCGGUUGAACGUAUAGGAAAAAUACGCCAAUUUUCUAACCACCGGCAAACGAACCAAUCCAAAGCGUCGGGAACGUCAGCCGCUGCUGCUGCACCGGGGUACCGGAAACGAAAUAUCCUUACAGAGGUUUCUCUCGUCGCUUGCACACUUUGCCAACGAACCUAUCGAACCGGUGCUACCCACAGCAGCUCCUCUCGGACUAUAAUUUGAUCGCGUGACUCCGACUCUGAGAAAAAGUUUCCUCGACUUUUCCGCGGAGUAUAUAAGGUUGGAAAAAGUGGUUCCACGGGGCGAACGCUACGGCAAAUUGUACGAGGGGGGUGAGGGUGGAUCUGGCUUUGGUCAGCAAAGACUCACUUUGUAUAUAGUUUUAAUUGGUCUUGUUUUCCCAUGCCCCGAAGGAACUAAAUUCAAAUACGGGUAGCGGCGGAACCUGCGAAAGAAAUCGGCUAGAAGGGAUGAAGUUUGCCAAGAAAAACAGAUUGUUGACGAAGUAUGGUCGGGGGAGAGAAGAAAAAAAAAGAAUUUCGUGGGCGGAUAUAACUUGUAUUUACAAAAUGUUGCCGACCAAACAUGCGACCAUGGGUUUCGAAAACAACCGCAUUCGAGAACGUCAAAUCAAAUUAUCGAAAUUCUUGAUUAGGUAUAUCGUUUUAGCGAAUUACCACUUGAUCCCCCGAAUCGUAUGCGUCGCAAGUGUGCGUAAAUAUACGGUGGAUACACGAGCGGUUCCAUAAAAUGACAAGUGCUCGAGUGUAAAACAUAAAUAGGUGAGUAUGCAUAGAGCGAGUGUUUCACUCCCGGAGGGAAUAACGACAGGGGGGCUACAUGCAAAUACAAAACCACGCCCCACACCCCUCGAGGGACUCACGAUACAACCGCAACUGUGAACAAUGCUACCGACAGCGGAUCCAAAUUACGUUAAUUGCGACGCAUUUCCUAAAGUUUCAAUUAACCCCCAUUCUAUCGAACCGAACCGAUCCCGCGCCGGAGACGAGACCCCGUCCACCACCGAUGAGGCUCAAGACAUCGAUUCGACGUCACGAAUCACCGCCGAAAUUUAGGGGGGUGGGGCCUAAUCUCCGAUCAUAUCCGUCGAUUCCACUUACUUUUCGACAAAACUCCGCGCUUCGUCGUACCGAAAUUACGGACGGUUCAGAACGAUUAAAAAUCAAAGUUUGAAACUAUUACCUCGAGAAUCGUGGAGAUCUCCGAGAUAAUUACUGUUUGGUGAAAGAUGAAAAACUCGGAACAAGGACGAGCUUUAAAUAUCUCCGAGAAAAAGCGCACGCAUCGGAAUCGCUUCGCUCUACACAGAAUCGUGUCAUGGUAUUUUAUUUUUCUUUUUCUUCUAUUGCUUUUUUUUCAUACCGUUCAAAUCCCGACUGAACUGGAUUGAUUUCUUUUUCAGUUUUUUUUUUUUUUUUUUUUUUAUUAUUUCUUCGUUUAUUCAGGUUUUUUUACAUUAUUUAUUUAUUUAUUUUUUUUUUAUCAAAUAACCAUGAAUAUAUAAGCGUGAAUUCAAAUACCAUCUGUCUAUACGAAUAUAAUACUUGAUUGAAACACGCAAUAGAGGCGCUGGCAACAGCGAUACGGGCUUUUAAAAGCUGUACCAGAGGAACCUCUAACUGAAAUUGAAUACGAAAUAUUCGCGUAACGAAAUUUUUUAUCCAUUGAUUGAUUGCCGAAGCCGUAAGUGCGUUCGAAUUUCUGUGACACGGGCACUUUAGCCAGUUUAAAUUUAAAUGAAAAGUGAGUGACGGGAGGAGAGCCGCUGCUUCCACGAGAGGCACACACGUAUACCGAAGAACAGCUGAAAACAAUUAAAACCAAAAAAAAAAGAAGAAAAGGAUAUAAUGGAAGGAUCGCUUUUCUCUUUCGAUAGCCUAGAAAAUAAGGUGUUUAUGAUAAUUGAAAAAAAAAUAUUUGCGAUUUUUCUCUGCGAGUUGAAACUCGAUCGAUCAGUUUCCCAUCAAGUGGAUUUCGGAUCGCCGGAGUUUCGUAUCGAAUCACCCUAGACGCUUUUGUAAGGGUGGACGGAGGGUGUGGCGUUCAUUUUCUACAGACAUUUGUAGCAGAUACCAAAAGCUAAUUAGUUCACGGGGCUAUUGUUGUAAAGGAGCUUUUAUUUUAUUUUUUCUCCUCGACUUUUUGUCCUCGGGUUUCGAGUAGGAAAAAUAUCUUGAGAUGUUUUUCUACUAAACUUAUAUACGGCGCUAUUCUCUUCGGCAUGGUACGACUCGAGUUACUUAACUACCUGCACGAACGUAUCUAGGUACAUGAAUCGGUAUAUAUACAUGCGAUAUAUAAAAAGCAGAUAGACUGCACGUCACAUUCUGUUCUUUCAUUUCGCUACGAAAUAUUUGUCAAGGCAACAUAAAGAAACCGCAACAGCUCGCUGUAUCCGUAAUUCUUUCUCUUUUUCUUACUCAACGUGAAGUAUAUAAGAAUAGACGAGAGUAAUGUGUACCUAAUAAUGCUGAAUAUGAUAUUGCACAUCGAGUUCGUCGAAUCGUCGUUAUUACCUAUUCAAAAAGUUGGAGAAAACCGAUGAGAUAACGAGUUGCAGAUUCAACGGAAACGCGAAUCCAAUACGCGCAAGUUGUAAAUUUGAGAGUAACGUCGCGUUCGUUGCACGUAUGCAUGUGUUAUGUACUGACAAUAAGUCAAGGAUGAAAACGCAUCGAGUUACCCCGGUUGUAUAAUUGAGUGUGGGAUUGUAUCCUAUGUACGAUACUGUUCCAUUAAGUCAACUGGAUAAAUGCAUCGAGAUUACUAUUAAUGCAUUCAACGAUGCAUCCUAUUCCACCGGUGCGAUACAUUAAUCCACACGGCAGUGUUCCCGUCCGCCUGCUCGUCCUGGCGCAUGCAACGUAAUAACUAUUAUACCACAUAUCAAGAGACACGGCGGAGUCCUCGCGCCAAGUACAUUCGAAAGAACGGGCGUACCUAUACCACGGAGUAUCUGACCGGCGCAAAGGCGAUUUUCUUCCAAUGGAAAACUGGUGGGAGACUAUUUCGUUUCUAUCAACCAAGUUUUAUUUGUAUCAAGUCUGAUAGCUCUUGAAACUCAACAACUCAAGUUACGAUAAUUCUCCGAGUUCUAUUGGAUAAAUUGUGACAAUUAUAUUUCAAAGAAUUAUAUAAAAAUUGUUACAGUAAUUUUAGCGGAAUAUCUAAAAAAAAAAAAAUCAUAAUUAAUCAAAAUUGAAAUAAUGAACAAAUUUUUGUUUCUUGAUAGAUUCUCAUCAUUUUCAAAUUUCCUUCAAUCAUCGGAGUCCCGACCAAAAAUAGAAAAACAAAAAUUGCCCAAAAAGUUCUGAACAAAAAAUUCCGGCCAUCCCAGGAACACGCGCAACUUUUCACCUCUGUGACAUUUUAUCCUAAGCCCCAUAUAGUUCUAUGAUUACGCCACGAUUUCGGAAUCUCGUCUUUUUUUGCAAAAAAUGCAAUAACGGUGCGAGAAAAGAUUACUGGAAACUUUGUAAGGAAUGAAUAUGAAGCUCUCGACACCCCCGUUCAGUUUUUCAUAGACAUAAAAUCACGUACGUUUGUUCCACGGUAUAUGCGACAAAUUUCCGGCUAAAUUUAAAUGUUUUGAAAAAAUACCGGAAUGGAGCCGGAUCCAUCCGAGUGUCAUGAAACGGUGAAUUGCGAACGUGAAAUUCGGCAUUCGGACAUCGGAGCGUCUCGUACGUAGAUCCUUCUUUUCCGAAGCAACGGCAGUAUGGCCGCAGCUGCCGAAGCGACGUCGUCGGGAGCGACAUCGAUGGCUAUCGCGUACAUCCUUGGAGAGGAGGAAGAACAAGCUGAAGAGGAGAGAGAGAAAGAUGGAGAUACAUUGAGAUUUAUGCUUGACAGGCAUCAAGUUUGCCUAGUUCUUCGCGAUACGGUUCAACUUUCAACUACUGUACGCACGUUGUGCUGAAAAAUUCAUCUACAGGCUUUCAAUCAACCACCACGGCGGCUAUUCCGUCACAGUACGCAUUCAACUUCCAACCACGAAGGGCAGGAGUUAUACAUGCCCGUUCACAGAUCCAUCUCGACUGGGUGAAGACGAAGGGAUGUAUCUCGUCGAGAAGACUUGGCGAUGUCCUGAUUUGGUUUUAUCACGCAAUGGUCAUCUACCAGGAAGAAAAACAAAUAUCACAUGUAAAAUUCAAGUCACGAUGUAACAACCACUCAUAUUU